CCAGGCCCUACGGGGCGCAGCAGGCGCGAAAACUGUGCAAUGCGCGAAAGCGCGACACGGGGAGCCUGAGUGCCUUGACUUUUUGUCACGGCUUUUCUGAUGCCUAAAAAGCAUCAGGAAUAAGGGCUGGGCAAGACGGGUGCCAGCCGCCGCGGUAACACCCGCAGCUCGAGUGGUGAUCACUUUUAUUGAGUCUAAAGCGUUCGUAACCGGUCUUAUAAAUCUUCAGAUAAAUUCUUCCGCUUAACGGAAGAACUUCUGAAGAGACUGUAAGACUUGGGACCGGGUGAGGUUGAAUGUACUUUCAGGGUAGGGGUAAAAUCCUGUAAUCCUGAAAGGACGACCGGUGGCGAAAGCGUUCAACUAGAACGGAUCCGACGGUGAGGGACGAAGGCUAGGGGAGCAAACCGGAUUAGAUACCCGGGUAGUCCUAGCUGUAAACGCUGCCCACUUGGUGUUGCUUCUCCGUUGAGGGGGGGCAGUGCCGUAGCGAAGGUGUUAAGUGGGUCACUUGGGGAGUACGGCCGCAAGGCUGAAACUUAAAGGAAUUGGCGGGGGAGCACCGCAACGGGAGGAGCGUGCGGUUUAAUUGGAUUCAACGCCGGAAAACUCACCGGGAGCGACCUUCGGAUGAGGGUCAACCUGACGAAUUUACCCGAUAGAAGGAGAGGUGGUGCAUGGCCGUCGUCAGCUCGUACCGUAGGGCGUUCACUUAAGUGUGAUAACGAGCAAGACCCCCAUCUCUAAUUGCCAGACUGUCUUAGCGGGCAGAGGCACUUUAGAGGGACCGCCAGCGCUAAGCUGGAGGAAGGAGGGGUCGACGGCAGGUCAGUACGCCCCGAAUCUCCCGGGCUACACGCGCGCUACAAAGGACGGGACAAUGAGCUGCAACCUCGAAAGGGGAAGCUAACCUCGAAACCCGUUCGUAGUCAGGACUGAGGGCUGUAACUCGCCCUCACGAAUGUGGAUUCCGUAGUAAUCGUAGGUCAACAGCCUACGGUGAAUAUGCCCCUGCUCCUUGCACACACCGCCCGU
rnacentral:rRNA from 1 species